rnacentral:sRNA from 1 species
AGUUUAGGGUUUAGGGUUUC